rnacentral:lncRNA from 1 species
CACGGACCCAUCGACCAGCUUCCUUAGGCACGGCUCCACCUGUAAGGCAUGCGAGGACAUAUACAAAUACCUAAGGAGCAGCUCUAUCGAGACUUGGCUUGGAACGAAUAGGAUGGCGGCUACGGCCGAGUCUGGCUAGGCGUGCUCUGUCUUCUUCUUCCUCUCAUGUUCUUCCUCUCCUCCUCCAAUCCCUCUUGUGAUUCCUGUACUCUUUGAGUUGUAAUUCGAUUCAGAUGAUGAUUUAGUAGUACAUCUAAUGGGUUGCUCACAUCUGGUAUCAGAGCCAUCGUUCCUACGCCUGGAAUUUUUUCUUCUGUCCACCCCACCAUAUCCACCCACCAACUGUUCGACAAAAUGCCAACCCACAAAUUCGCGUGUCCAGGAGGUGUUCUUCACAUCAGGAUGACCGAUGUGCUCCAUCGAGUGACCGUACAGAUGCUCCGCCAGUUGUUUUGUUGCUCUGGUGCUGGUGACAUGAUGUGUGUCUUCGAGAGAGUGGUGGACGGGAUGUACGGUGUGGAGGCGUACGUACAGUUCCGUUCUCGGUGGGAGGCGGCCCGUGCUCGUGAUGCUCUGGACGGCCAGGCUAUCUACGAUGGGUGUUGCUUCCUUGCCGUCGACCUCAUACCGCCGAUCUACACCGCUAUCACGACGCCGUCGGAGGACAAGUUGGCUCCGACGUACUUCUACGACGACACACCGUAUGCUGCUUGGUCUGCAACUCUCUUUUCGGCCGAGCGCCAUGAGGCACCAGCUUGUGUCCCUGGCAUGUCGCUAUUCAGUGCGUCACCACCGCCAACGAAGGCGGCCAUCAAGCCCAGUGCAUCAGUGUUGUCCGCGAACGAUCCCUCCCUCAUGGUGCACACCACCUGCUCGAUUGGGUGCACAAGUGGAGACACUAGCACAGCAACGAGCCCGUGCACUCAUUCAUCAGUGCCAGCUUCAUCUACAUCCACACCGAAUUCAUCCGCGGACGUCCUGACUGUGUGCGUGACGCAUGAGGCUGAGGACAUGAACCUCACUUCCCUGGCGGCUUCCCCCAUGUGCCUGAGUGGCGACGCUAACGCAGCAGCGUCUACGGUGCUCGCCGCUGCCCUUGCUGCAGCAGUGCCCCCCAGCAGUUGCGAUGCACAUGAGAUGUCUGUGGCCGUUGCCGAGCAGCAUGGCAAAUCCGCGAAGGAUGAUUCUGUUGUGACAAAAGAUAAAGAUGCAUAGAAGUCUAUAGUUCUCCAAGACCUUUGUUUUGCUUCAUUGGAUACCCAGUUGUUCUCGGUUGUCCAGAGGAUGUUCAUCAUGCUCUGUGCCUGAUUUGGCCUUCCCAUGUGCAAGCUAGUUUCUAUGGAGUCUGCUUGCUACGACAGUUUUGCUUCCUUCCUACAUUGUCCUUUCCUUGGAAUCCUGGUGGUACUCUGCAUGGGUAUAGCAACCAAUUAACUGCCAUUUCUACUCUUGCUACUCAAGGUCCAUAUUUGCAUGGUCACUGCCCAAUUGAGGAAUCAUGGAUUUGCAAUUUCAGAAUUCUCAACAUGCAUGACCUAUGGGUAUCCUUAGUGGAGCUGAAACCAUGGCCUUCCUGGCAGCAUUAUUGUUAUUUCGUUUUACUUGAGCAUUCACCCUGCAGUGUUACUAAUGGAGAGUUCCCGGCCACUACAAACUCAGCAAGUUGGCACUAUACUGUUGCAGCAAAUGGUGCUGAUUUUAGGUUAUACAAUGUGCCUUGUCAUGGUUCACAAUUCUUCCUCCGUCGCAACCCUGCACUUGGUUAUUUAUGUUGCUUGUGUUGACAUGACUUGUGACUGCUCAAGCUCAGGAAUGGUGUUAGUGGGCCACAAUUCUAAGCAAUAUGACUGAGCUGUUGCAAUGGAGGAUAGCUUGGUCCUUAGGUAAGGCACUAUUGCACUAUGCAUUUCAGUCUCUUAGCAGUGAUGAGUGCUUGGCAUUACAGUGGGAUUCUGAACAACAAACAGUUGAGCAUCAACAAUAUAUAAUUAGCUGGUUGAACCGUUUUAUUUUUAACCGAUGCAUUCCUCUACCCGGGCCUAUGGAUUUCCCUCCAGCAAAACGCAUGCAAAUUAUGUUUCUGUUUUGCACUCUUGGGGAUGUUUCCUAUUGUUCUGAACUAUUUCAGUGUGAAAUUGCUUGGUUGCACAGUUAUGGGUGUUCUAGAGCAGUUGCAACCCAUGGGCACUUUCACAUGGUAAAAUACAUGCACGGUGAAGGACUUCGAGCUCCUGAUGUAUCUGAUUGUGCACGCGCAGAUCAGAAUUUGUUCUUCAGAGUUUUGGGGCUGGUGCUAGUUUUUAUUCCAUUACUUGCUGCAGGACAACCGGGUUAUAAGUGGCAUUCUUUUGAGCUGGAGAUGGUGACUGAUAGUUCCUUGUGUUGUCUCCUGUUUCAUUGGGCAUAUGGUUCAGUGUAUUUCUGAUCUUAUCGAAUGGAAGGUUGAAUGGUCACUUGAAUUGGAGUGCUCUGCCGGUGGACAUAAGUCAGCACAACCAUUCUCUACAGCAACAGUGAGGUGUGACGAUUCUCAUGCAAAGAGAAGUGUAGCUAUACUCCAGUGUUGCUUCGAUUUGCAAGCGCCCUGGGAUCCCGGUGGUUUGUCACAAUGUCGGCUACAAGGAAUGCCUCAAUCCAGAACUGGUUCUAAUAUGGUUUCGACUCACCCCGCGCACAUCAUGGGACCCUGGUGGUUUGACAUGGAGUCGGCUUGAGGGCAAGCCGCAUUUUAUGGAGGGGGGCUUGUCAGCGUCUCUGUCUACACGGACCCAUCGACCAGCUUCCUUAGGCACGGCUCCACCUGUAAGGCACGCGAGGACAUAUACAAAUACCUAAGGAGCUGCUCUAUCGAGACUUGGCUUGGAACGAAUAGGAUGGCGGCUACGGUCGAGGCUGGCUAGGCGUGCUCUGUCUUCUUCUUCCUCUCAUGUUCUUCCUCUCCACCUCCAAUCCCUCUUGUGAUUCCUGUACUCUUUGAGUUGUAAUUCGAUUCAGAUGAUGAUUUAGUAGUACAUCUAGUGGGUUGCUCACACGCAGAAC